UCAGGUGGUUAGAGCGCACGCCUGAUAAGCGUGAGGUCAGUGGUUCAACUCCACUUAGGCCCA
rnacentral:tRNA from 1 species